GACGAACGCUGGCGGCGCGCUUAACACAUGCAAGUCGAGCGAGAACCAGGGCUUCGGCUCUGGGGACAGCGGCGAACGGGUGAGUAACACGUGAGUAAUCUGCCCUCGACACUGGGAUAGCCCGGGGAAACCCGGAUUAAUACCGGAUAGCCUUUCGAGCUCCCGGGCUCGUCAGAAAAGGAUGGCUUCGGCUUUCGGUUGAGGAUGAGCUUGCGGCGGAUUAGCUUGUUGGUGAGGAACGGCUCACCAAGGCGACAAUCCGUAGCUGGUCUGAGAGGACGAUCAGCCACACUGGGACUGAGACACGGCCCAGACUCCUACGGGAGGCAGCAGUGGGGAAUUUUGCGCAAUGGGGGAAACCCUGACGCAGCAACGCCGCGUGGAGGAUGAAGUAUCUUGGUACGUAAACUCCUUU
rnacentral:rRNA from 1 species